rnacentral:lncRNA from 1 species
GCCGGGCGGUGGUGGCGCACGCCUUUAAUCCCAGCACUUGGGAAGCAGAGGCAGGUUUAUUUCUGAGUUCAAGGCCAGCCUGGUCUACAAAGUGAGUUCCAGGACAGCCAGGACUAUACAGAGAAACCCUGUCUCGAAAAAAGAAGAAUGGCAGAAUUAAAAUUUAAUCAGCCUUACUUUGGUUUUGUUUUUUUGAGACAGGGUUUCUCUGUAUAGUCCUGGCUGUCCUGGAAUUCACUUUGUAGACCAAGCUGGCCUCGAACUCAGAAAUCCGCCUGUCU